GGAGGUGCUGGUGCAGACCUGUGUCCUUUCUCUCCUUCACAUCUGCCCACCUUCAGGAGCCUCUGUGAGUCGCCAUGGGAGAUGCUAUGGCAGGAGCUAAGAAUGGAAGAAACCUCCACAGGAAUAAAACAGUGUAGACAAGACAUAACACUGACCUUGAAUGCAACCCAACCCAAAGGGCGGUACGACGGCCGUCAGUGAGAGCAAGCAAGAUGACACUGACAAACUCAAAAUUUGAACAAGGAUGCUUUUAAGCUCAACACGUAUACAAAGGAAAUAACCAGCUCAUCAAACCCAUUGUUCUACAUACAAUGUUGCUAAGAUGGAGCCAACUUUAUAGAAGUAUAAAAAGGACAAUUUGGGAGUGCCAAGCAGGAAAGGCUGGAGUCAUCUCCACUCAGCUGCGCCCAUGCUCACCGAAUCUGUGCACAAAGGUUUCCUGGGCCCAACAUCCUCAAUGGGGAAGCAGAGACUGGAGAGAGGAAAGGAUGCAUUUGUUUUUGAUGGCUGCUGUAACAACUUACCACAAACACAGUGGCUUAAAACAGCACACAUUUAUUCUCUUACAGUUCUGGAGUCCAAGUCCAAAAUGGGUUUCACUGGCUAAAACCAAGGUGUCAGCAAUCUGUAUUCCUACUGGAGGCUCCAGGAGAGAAUCCGUUGCCUCGCCUUUUCCAGCUUCCAGAAGCCACCAGAAUCCUUGGUCCAUGGCCCCUUCCUCCAUCUUCAAAGCCGUCAGCGUAGCACAUCUUCCAAUCUCUCCUACCUCCCUUUUAGGAGGACCCUUGUGGUUACAUCAGACCCACUCUGGUAACCCAGGAUAAUCUCCCUCCUCUCAAGGUCCUUGAUUAAAUUACAUCCCCAAAUCCAGGUAAGGCAGCACACCCAUAGGUUCUGGGGAUCAGCUUUGGGGGCCAUUAUUCAGCUGACCCCAUGGGGCCUGCCCAAGGUAGUUGGAGUGAUAGGAAUAGCAAGGAGCUGAACUCAGGCCUACAUUUUUCUUGGUGCCCUUCCUACAACACUGCACUGUCUCCUUGAAAAGAAAAGAAACUGUCUGAAUCCUGAUGUUUUUCUAGUGACUGGGCAGGAGCAAGGAUUUGAGUAAAAACUGAGUAAGUGGAACCUGAAAUCACAAGGAGCCACGGGAGGUGGGUCCUCAAUGGGGAAGCACAAAGGUGACCUCGUAUGGGAGCACAAAUGGGCACAGGGAAGCAAUUUGGGCAUUGCCUAUGCGCCUGUGUUCACCAGCAACACCUCCUGCCCUGGCAGACACCCUGCCAGACACCCUGCCACUUCUCACUGUGCCAGCUUCCCACCUCCAAGUCAACACUCUGAGGACCUUUCCUAAAAUGCAAAUUGGAACAAUUCCCUCCACCCUUCUGAUGGCUCCAGGAUAAAAUCCAAGCUCAGUGGUCAGCAUCCAAAGGCCCCGUGCCUUGCCUCUCAGCACUACCUCCACCCUUGGGACCUGGCAGGAGCACUGGACUGCAGGUCAGAAACUUAGGUGCUCCCCUUGCACCGACUGCAUCAAGCACACUUACAUUUUGUAUACAGUUUCUCUUCUUCUUGGCAUGGCCCCAUUUUACAAAUGAGGAAAAGAGCCCAGAGAGGUUGAGUGGUUCCUCCAACAUCACACAGCAAUGCCACAUAGCUAGUCAGAGGGAGACCUGUGAUUUGCACCCAGCUUGUUUUGGCUCCCCUGAGGCCGGCUUCUUUGGCCCUUAGCCAGGGCUGGGCAAGCAGCCUGGGUUGACAAAUGCGGGUGGAGGGAGUGAUGAGUAUAUGCCUUCCCAGCAGCCGGAAAUGGGUUUUGUAAGCAUCUUACAGCUCUGCCUCCAGCAGCCUCCUGUCAGGAAGCAUCAUAAAUUGAAAGCCUGGAAAGUCACCACCCCUGUUCUGUUUCUCCCAUGCUGGCAGACUCAUUUACAGCACAUGAUUGGGGCUUAAAGCAGCAAAGGUUGUGCCAGCCUGCCAGGAUUUGGCUCCCUGCCGCAGCGGGCUCUGCCCAGCUCCAGGACACAGUUGGCAGCUGUAACUCUCUGUGAAGACAGAGAGACCUGGGUGCAAAUCCUCUUCCUGCCACCUACCAGCUGGAAGGCUACGGCAAGCAAGUGACAUCCCCUUUCUGUGUUCGCCCCGUCCUCUCCCUCUGAGGCUUCCUCUCACUCUUAAAUGAUGGCGAACUGCACAGGUGAAGCAAGUCAGACUCACCCUGAUGAGGACAGUGUAUCAGCCAGCAGGAGCCACAGCAGCCUGCAGGGCCCUAGAAGCUCCAAACCCACCAGCUCAGAAAAAUCAUUUCACUUGCAACCCAAGUUCAACACCAAACCCUCCUAAUUGUUCCUCCUGGGUGUAGCUAUCAAAGCCGUGGGUGGCGUGGUCCACUGUUUAUUUGCCUAUGGCUCUUAGGAUUAUUUUCAUCCCGUCAUUAGCAGAAGGAGGGGGCCCUGGCCAGAGUAGCCUGCUAGGUCUAGCCUGGACAUACCAGCUUCAUCCUAGCCCUCUGCUCUGCUUGCCCAAACUCCAACUGUGUUCUUAGCUCACUGUGUACAGCUACUCUAUUCCAUUCUAUUUCUAAUCCCCAAACAUGCAAAGUAUUUGCAAUAUGCAUACAUGUCAUUUUAUGUUUAUAAACU